rnacentral:tRNA from 1 species
GGAGAGGUGGCCGAGUGGCUUAAGGCGGUGGUUUGCUAAACCGCUGUACGGUGUAAAGCUGUACCUAGGGUUCAAAUCCCUACCUCUCCG